AUGUCACCACAGUACAUUGACAGCUGACGAUGUGAACGAACAAGGGAAACAGCCUAUAUCUGUUGACUCGGCACCAAUGCAGAUGCUACGUGACAUUGUACUGAACAGCAGGUGGCUAAAUACACUUGGGUACUAUAUCAGAUGCAGGCACACUGGCUUACUAGAGAGCUACCAUAACUUGGUCUUGAAGUAUGCAUCAAAGAGAACUUGUUAUAGGUACAAUGCAUUCAGAGCACGCUGUUUGCUGGCAGCAAUUGAUCAUAACCACCACAUUACUCGAGAAUACAAAGAGCACCAAAGUACUAGAGAAACAAGGUUCCAC